rnacentral:lncRNA from 1 species
CAAUAUUCCACCCAAAAAUAUGCUAUAAAAUGUAGCUUCAAUAUGAAACAUACAUACAUCGAAAACGAACCAACUGAAAGCACUGAAACCAAAUAAGAGAACCCCCAGAGCUCGAUAUUUAUACAUAGCAAGCCUAUACAGAACCGAUUCAUAAGUUCCAAAGCAUUUUAUGAACACAACAGAACACAACAGUUCGUCAUUUAACUAAAUCUGAGAAUUAAAUUGAACUUAUUCGACUAAAGGCGACCUAACAGCGUGUGAAUGGAGUAAGUUGUGAUCUGAGAUAUCCCUCCGUGGAAGCCCUUGACCAAUUCUCUCCCCCAGUCAGUCUGGCAUCGCCUUCUUCCUUUUUUGCCGCUUUUACUUCAAUCUUUUGAACCCUUAUGACUGCAUAGGCGAGACCAUUCAAGAGGCCCUCGGAGACGAGUAUAUGUUGAGGAGCUAUAUAAAACUGCCAGAACUUCGUCAUGUCGCCAUUCUGCUUGUAUUAACCUUCUAUACGUUGUUGGAGCAGUAACCUAAAUCCUAUGUAAAAAGCAGAAGCAACUGUGUUGCCUCCAACAACUAUUUUCUACAUUUUUGUUAUAAUAUUUUCCCAUAAUCCUAGUGCUCGCUUCCUGUUAAAUCAAAUUUGCUGGCAUAGGAAAUUCUAUAAAAAAUUCUUUCGUUUCUAAUACGCAUUUUGAAGGCAUAUCCUGGACCCAUUGGACUACACGGUUAUCUGAACAUUAUAUCACAAAAUGAGGUAGGUGGUGCCUUAAGGAAUAUCAUCUAGAAAACUUGUCGUUUGAUUCUCGCAAUCAGUAACAGCCUCUUGCUCAUACUUGUUUGGCGUUAUGUGGCAUUCCAUGCAAAUCCGUUUGGCUUUAUAAACUCUAAUGUUGACGAGGCGUACGGGAAAGAACAUAUCAUGUGGGAAGGCAACUUUAAGAACUUACGGCAGGCGUAUGAUAUACGCGAAUUUGCUGUGUGUAUAUUAUUAAUAUGUACCUUGAUGCUUUUCGAUUUUUAACACUUAAUUACUGGGAAAAUAAAACCCACAAAUGUACGCAUGUUGCGUCUC